rnacentral:rRNA from 1 species
GCCUAAAGCGUCCGUAGCCGGCUCUGUAAGUUUUCGGUUAAAUCCAUAUGCUCAACAUAUGGGCCGCCGGGAAUACUGCAUAGCUAGGGAGUGGGAGAGGUAGACGGUACUCCGUAGGAAGGGGUAAAAUCCUUUGAUCUAUGGAUGACCACCUGUGGCGAAGGCGGUCUACCAGAACACGCUCGACGGUGAGGGAUGAAAGCUGGGGGAGCAAACCGGAUUAGAUACCCGGGUAGUCCCAGCUGUAAACUAUGCAAACUCAGUGAUGCAUUGGCUUGUGGCCAGUGCAGUGCCGCAGAGAAGUCGUUAAGUUUGCCGCCUGGGAAGUACGUACGCAAGUAUGAAACUUAAAGGAAUUGGCGGGGGAGCACCACAAGGGGUGAAGCCUGCGGUUUAAUUGGAGUCAACGCCAGAAAUCUUACCCGGAGAGACAGCAGGAUGAAGGUCAAGCUGAAGACUUUACCAGACAAGCUGAGAAGUGGUGCAUGGCCGUCGCCAGCUCGUGCCGUGAGGUGUCCUGUUAAGUCAGGUAACGAGCGAGAUCCUUGCCUCUAGUUGCCACCAUUACUCUCAGGAGUAGUGGGGCGAAUUAGCGGGACUGCCGUAGUUAAUACGGAGGAAGGAGAGGGCCACGGCAGGUCAGUAUGCCCCGAA